AGUACACAUCAGUGUAUUGCUUGUCAGUGAAUACAUAGCUGGCCGGCGGCAGACGCGGGGAACUGAAACAUCUCAGUACCCGCAGGAAGAGAAAGAAAACUCGAUUCCCAUAGUAGCGGCGAGCGAAGUGGGAAGAGCCCAAACCGAGAAGCUUGCUUCUCGGGGUUGUAGGACUGGACAUUGGAGUUACCAAAGUCCGACGUAGUCGAAGUCAGCUGGAAAGCUGCGCCACAGAAGGUGAAAGCCCUGUAAGCGAAACGUCGAACCCUCCGUCCAGGAUCCUGAGUACGGCGGAACACGUGAAAUUCCGUCGGAAUCCGGGAGGACCAUCUCCCAAGGCUAAAUACUCCCUAGUGACCGAUAGUGAACC
rnacentral:rRNA from 2 species